AGUCGUAACAAGGUUUCCGUAGGUGAACCUGCGGAAGGAUCAUUGUCGAAACCUGCCCGGCAGAACGACCCGCGAACCCGUGAACUCAUCCCGAGGGGGUCCGGAGCGGGGCGCUGGGGCUCCCCGCGUCGGCCGUCCUCGGGCCGCGGGGGACGGGCGAGGUCUCUCGCUCGCUCCCUGCGGCCGAACAACGAACCCCCGGCGCGAGCCGCGCCAAGGAAAAUCUAACGAGAGCGAGGGCGAUCCCGCCGUCCCCGGACACGGAUCGGCGCGCGGGAUGCCCGCCCUUCUUUCGACGAAAAUCUAAAACGACUCUCGGCAACGGAUAUCUCGGCUCUCGCAUCGAUGAAAAAUGCGAUACUUGGUGUGAAUUGCAGAAUCCCGUGAACCAUCGAGUCUUUGAACGCAAGUUGCGCCCCAAGCCUUUAGGCCGAGGGCACGUCUGCCUGGGUGUCACGCAUCGUCGCCCCCCCGCCCCCCGUCUCUCGGGGACUCGCUGGACGGGCGGAAACUGGCCUCCCGUGCGCUCCCGCUCGCGGUUGGCCCAAAUCUGAGUCUUCCGGCGACCGUGCCGCGACGAUCGGUGGUGGAACAUGCCUCUCGAGCUCCCGUCGCGCGCUCGCGUCUCCGUGCCACGGGCUCGCGGACCCUUGUGGGCGCCGUCUCCUCUCCGGGACGGCGCUCGCCCUGCGACCCCAGGUCAGGCGGGACUACCCGCUGAGUUUAAGCA
rnacentral:sRNA from 1 species